GGUCCCGUGGUGUAGUGGCGGCACGUCAAUUCCAGGAAGAACUCCUCUAUAAAGAUUGAAACGAGGGUCGCUCUGUGACGAAGACGCCAGUUCGAUUCUGGCCGGGAUCG